rnacentral:rRNA from 1 species
CACGUAGGCACCAAGCGUUAUCCGGAUUUAUUGGGCGUAAAGAGCUCGUAGGCGGUUCGGUAAGUCGGGUGUGAAAACUCUGGGCUCAACCCAGAGAGGCCACCCGAUACUGCUGUGACUAGAGUGCGGUAGGGGAGCGGGGAAUUCCUGGUGCAGCGGUGAAAUGCGCAGAUAUCAGGAGGAACACCAGCGGCGAAGGCGCCGCUCUGGGCCGUAACUGACGCUGAGGAGCGAAAGCAUGGGUAGCAAACAGG